rnacentral:misc_RNA from 1 species
UACGUAGGGCGCGAGCGUUAUCCGGAAUUAUUGGGCGUAAAGCGAGCGCAGGCGGUCUUUUAAGUCUGAUGUGAAAGCCCACGGCUCAACCGUGGAGGGUCAUUGGAAACUGGGAGACUUGAGUGUAGGAGAGGAAAGUGGAAUUCCACGUGUAGCGGUGAAAUGCGUAGAUAUGUGGAGGAACACCAGUGGCGAAGGCGACUUUCUGGCCUAAUACUGACGCUGAGGCGCGAAAGCGUGGGGAGCAAACAGG